rnacentral:rRNA from 1 species
GGACUACCCGGGUUUCUAAUCCUGUUUGCUCCCCAUGCUUUCGUGCCUCAGUGUCAGUCUUUGUCCAGAAAGUCGCCUUCGCCACUGAUGUUCCUUCCGAUAUCUACGCAUUUCACUGCUACACCGGAAAUUCCACUUCCCUCUACAAGACUCUAGUCAAACAGUAUGAGGCGCAAUCCCCAGGUUAAGCCCAGGACUUUCACACCUCACUUAUCUAACCACCUACGCACCCUUUACGCCCAGUAAUUCCGAUUAACGCUUGCACCCUCUGUAUUACCGCGGCUGCUGGCAC